GUCCACGCUGUAAACGUUGGGCGCUAUGUGUGGGGGCCUCUCCGGUUCUCUGUGCCGCAGCUAACGCAUUAAGCGCCCCGCCUGGGGAGUACGGCCGCAAGGCUAAAACUCAAAGGAAUUGACGGGGGCCCGCACAAGCGGCGGAGCAUGCGGAUUAAUUCGAUGCAACGCGAAGAACCUUACCUGGGUUUGACAUGUGCGCUAAAGCCUCAGAGAUGGGGGUGUCCUUCGGGGCGGUUCACAGGUGGUGCAUGGCUGUCGU
rnacentral:rRNA from 1 species